UCGUUGCACAUCGCGGUCGCUUACGCUGUUGACAGCUUUGCUUGUUCUUCUUCACAUCGCAUUUUUUGUCGUCGCAUUUUACUUGUUCCUGUACUUGCGAUUUGCAUUGACACACGCAUCCAUACGAAUGUAUUUGUGUACUUGUGCUUGUAUUUAUUUCGUCUGUUGAAGUGUGCGCGAAUAAUUUCUUGUUUCACGGUUUUUUGCGGUUUUCGCGUCGUCAUUGCGCCUCCCCGCAUCGCGUCGUCGUCCUCCGUUACAUUGCCGUUGGGCCAUUGUCCAUUGUUGCCGUUUUGUUGUUGUUGUUGCCGUUGGCUUUGUUUGGGGCUCGUUUUACGCUCUUCUUCAGUUCAUCAAUUUGCAUUGCAGGUGCGUUGUACUUUUGCGAUCACUCCGCAUGUGGGCGGCGUAUUUUCCAGCACUGGUAAGCAUCCCAAAUGCCCCUCUUGCCAACACAGUUCACUACCAGCAGAUGAUUAAAUUCAUUGCCUUCGAUUACAACACUCACACACAAGCAGACAAACACACAGACACACACACACAUUCAAACAUGCAAAGGCACGUAGCAAAAGUUGACGGCAAGUGCGCGGCUGUAUUUACAACAAUUGCAAUAGGUGACUGGGCGGGUGAGAGUGAGACGCCAUGAGAGCCCAGGGAGAGCAGCGCACAAGUAAGGCGUGCAAGGCAUGAGUGUGAGCAAACAGAUGAGAAUUGCAAUACACACACACGCACAUACAAGCGCAAAGGCGGCCGGCACUUCCCCUAUACGUAAACUUAUUUCGCCGUUGCACUCGUCGUCGUCGCAGCGCUGCGCUGCAUAUGCGUUUAUGUAUGUAUGUGUGUGUGUGUGUGUGUGUAAGAGAGAAUGUAAUUGUCUGAUUGUUCCCUAUGUAAGUGCAUUUGUAUAUAUAUGUGUGGAUCCCACUUGGAACGGCGGCGAUUUCAUUUGCUUUUAUUACCAUUUUUGGUGGCUGUGCUGCCUGCGUUGGCGUCUCCUCCUCGUUUUGGGGUCUCCGUUGUAGUGUAGUUUCUGCUUUUGCAAAUACACAACGAGCCCGAACAACGAACGACGCCAAACGAAGCGUUGACUUUGAUCGGCAUCGGCUUUUUGUGCAGCCGAAGCGUUGACUUUGAUCGGCUUUUUUUGUGCAGCGGCAAAAAAUUAAAAAAAAAUAUGGCAACGUUUGGAGAAAAAGUUCUCUACCCUUUUGUCAGUGUGGAGCGCGACUUUGAAAUGUACGGCAAUGUAAGCGGGAGCAACGGUAACACUGUAACACGGCAAUUCAAUGAGUCAAUAUUAUCAAAUCCAACAACUGCCACACACACACACAACAAAUUACAUAAACAAUAAAACUAAAAAAAAAAAAAUAAAUAAGCAACAACGAAAAACUAGCUCGGAAAUUUGAAACUGCGCACGCGUUGCAAUUUUCAAGACCAAAAACCUCGCAGCAACAACAACAUCAACAACCAAGUACAAUAACAACAACAACAAUUGCAUAGUAAAAGCACAACAAUAACAACGAAAAAAUAAAGUCAAAGUGAACUGAAAGGCAGAAAGGGAUAGCAGCUGUUUUGACUGCCGGCAUCGUCUAAGGACAACGGUUCAAGUGCAAGGAGGAUGCAGGACACCGACACCGACCGAAAGCUGCGGAGUGCAACAACUCCCGACGAUGAAACAACGUGUGGUCGCAGCACAAUUCCAUCUGAUAGAGGAACAUGCAAUGGAAACGCAACAAAAGGAUUAGAUUUUAUUUGCAAAUUAAACUCGAUAAAUAUCAGCACUAACAUCAUGCUUUUUUCUAUUCUCAGGAAACUCAAGGAAUUUCACAACAAUGCAUAAUCAAAAAACGAAAAAAAGGGGAAGGAAAAGCUGCAAAGGACAAGGAUACAAAUCAAUAUGCAAUUGUAAUCCAAUUAAAGAAAUGGUGCAUACUCACAUAUGGACCAUUAACAGAAACCCGUAAAUCCGAACUUGUGCUGUUUUAUAUCUGUUACAAGACCGGCAUUAUGGGAGUCUGUCAAUGCAAACAACUGGUUUUUGGCAACAACACAAAGAGUUCUUAACUAAACAAAUGAGACACAAGCUCAGAUAAACUAAAGCACAAUAACUACGUAAUGAGAAAUUUAAAUGUGAUAAACGAGAAUAUAAAUUCAGCUGGAAACUCGGAAAUAAAAUAAAAAUAAUUAAACAUUCAUCUUCAUAAAACAUAAAUAAAAUAAUACGCAAAAAUAAAACACUACAACAUUUGA